AGCGGAUGAGAAUAUAAAUAAUAUUUUAUUAUUUCAUUCCACAUAAAAUCCUUCUCUAAUUAUCUUUGUUAUCCUUUUGAGUAUUUUUCUGUAUUUCUGGGUAUUAUUUAUUUUGUAUUUGUGAUUUUUGUUCCUUUUGGGGGUGAUUUCAAGCUGUAAUAUUGAUUUUAAGCUGAACUGCAGAGCAGACUUUUAUUUUGAAAUCGCGCGAGUUUUCAGUGUCAGCGCGGGCUUCUCUCUCCUCAGUUCGCGCUAAAUACUGCUGAGGAGAGGAAAUAGAAAGAAUAAAACUCCCGUUGUAUGGCA